rnacentral:rRNA from 1 species
AUUGAACGCUGGCGGCAUGCUUUACACAUGCAAGUCGAACGGCAGCACAGGGAGCUUGCUCCCGGGUGGCGAGUGGCGCACGGGUGAGUAAUACAUCGGAACGUGUCCUGUUGUGGGGGAUAACUGCUCGAAAGGGUGGCUAAUACCGCAUGAGACCUGAGGGUGAAAGCGGGGGAUCGCAAGACCUCGCGCAAUUGGAGCGGCCGAUGCCCGAUUAGCUAGUUGGUGAGGUAAAGGCUCACCAAGGCGACGAUCGGUAGCUGGUCUGAGAGGACGACCAGCCACACUGGGACUGAGACACGGCCCAGACUCCUACGGGAGGCAGCAGUGGGGAAUAUUGGGCAAUGGGGGAAACCCUGACCCAGUAACGCCGCGUGAAGGAAGAAGGCUUUCGGGUUGUAAACUUCUUUACCAGGGACGAAGAAAGUGACGGUACCUGGAGAAAAGCCACGGCUAACUACGUG